GGUUUUCAGUAGUUUUAAAUUAGUGAAAUAUGUCAGGCUGAUUAAAAGAUGGGGCUAGAACGUGAGGGGGGUGUAUUUGUGCUGCUCUCAUUGUAACAGCCAACAGCCCCAGGUGUGCCUGGAGAAAAGGUUAAGGAGUUAGAAUUUUUGGAUAAAGUGGGACACUAAAAUGUAAAGGUAAGAAGAAGGAAGUAAAGGAAUUAGGAAAGUCAUGAGGGAAAUCUUCCUUUCAUUGUAUGGGUCCCAUUUAUGGAAUAUAUGUAUGGGUUUUCCGGAUUCUGGUUUCUUGGAAAAUAUAUGCAUCAUAAACGUGAUGGCCUCCCAUAUUCAUGUUGGAAAAGAGUAACAGGUUGGCAUGUAAAAGUUCUUUGCAAUUAAGGAAAUGGAUCUUCAGGUUCUCAGAUCCCACAAAGGAAUUUAUCCACCAGGUGUGGGUGCUCCAGACUGUAUUCCAGAUAUGUAUCAAGAGUUCUUUGUUUUUAGUCAUGCACUAUUUUCUUGGAGGAAAUUACAACUAAGGAUUUAACCAUGGACUUCUCAGGUAGGAAUAGCCCUUGUUUUGGCACUAUCCACAAGGUAGGCUGUUUAUGCCUGGCACCUGAAUCUUCUCUGCAAUUUUCAGUGGGAUCCAGCUUGUUCAGAGACUUUUCCCCAGUAACAGCUGCAAGGGAUCUUUAAAUGUGGGGCUCAAUAAAACUGCUAUGCUGGUCAGGAGGGAGCCGCGGGCAUUGCUUUACUCUGCUGCCUGGAACAACAGAAAAGAUGGAUGAAAACAGAUGAAAAAGCAGUUUUCAAGACUUUGGGAUGAGGUGAACCAGGAACGUGUCACAGUAUGGACUGUAAGUUUGGGCUUCUGCCUGGAACAGACCAUGGACUGAAGAGCCUUACUUCUGGCAGAUCUUUUGCCACCAGUAAUGGUUCACCCCACAGCCCUCCUGGAAUCCUCUUCGACCCAUUUCUUUCAGGCUGGGUUCAAGGACUGCCUCUUCUGUGAAGGCAUCUCUUACCCUCCAGGCAGAAUUUUCUAUCCUUUUCUCAGGGGUUCUAAUAGCACUGUAGAUUUUUAAAAACAAGAUUGAAAGCACCCAAAUCUUGGAAUUAUUCCAAAAAUUAAAAAAAAAAUCAACAUA